AUACGGAGGAUCCGAGCGUUAUCCGGAUUUAUUGGGUUUAAAGGGAGCGUAGGCGGGGGAUCAAGUCAGUUGUGAAAUGUAGGCGCUCAACGCCUGCACUGCAGUUGAAACUGGUUCUCUUGAGUGCGUAAGGGGCAGGCGGAAUUCGUCGUGUAGAGGUGAAAUGCUUAGAUAUGACGAAGAACUCCGAUGGCGAAGGCAGCUUGCCGGGCCGCAACUGACGCUGAAGCUCGAAGGUGCGGGUAUCGAACAGGAUUAGAUACCCUGGUAGUCCGCACAGUAAACGAUGGAUACUCGCUGUCGGCGAUAUACGGUCGGUGGCCAAGCGAAAGCGUUAAGUAUCCCACCUGGGGAGUACGCCGGCAACGGUGAAACUCAAAUGAAUUGGCGGGG
rnacentral:rRNA from 1 species